GCCCCCAUAGUUAAAUGGAUAUAACGCAGCCUUGCGGAGGCUGAAUUCGGGGUUCGAUUCCUCGUGGGGGCA
rnacentral:tRNA from 1 species